AGACAUAAAAUUCAUCCUUGGUGAGAAAUUGAAGAAAAAAUUAAAAUUUUUUUUAUUAAUUUAUGUUUU
rnacentral:tRNA from 1 species